GGCCGGUCCAGCAGAAGUUAGCGAUAGGGAGGGAUGCGCACUUGGGUGUAGUUGUGGGGGGAGGAAGUGACCAGUUCAGGGCCUCGGGACAGACAGGGAGAGAUGAUUGAGUUAGAUGAGACUGGGGGCCCUGGGGGUACGAGAAGGAAGCUUGACAAGGAGACUAGGUCUGAAGAAACCACAGUGGGGCAGGCUGCGUGGUGGAAAAUGCCCGCAGGAGCCCCCAGAGAGGACAGCCAUGCUCCAGGCCAGGCUGUCCCUACUGCCUGCUGGAGGGGGAACUUGACCUCUGGGAGGGAGCCGCUCUUGCAUGGCUGAGCGAGCCCCCGUGCGCUGGUCUGUGUGGAAGGAGGAAGGCAGGGAGAGGUAGAAGGGGUGGAGGAGUCACGAGGAAUGAAUGGGCCGCUGCGGCCCUGGAAACGAUCAGGAAGGCAGGCAGUGGGUGCAGGGCUGCAGAAGGGCCGGGAGGGCCGAGCUUCAACAUGUCCAUGCCAGCAGCCCCUUUUUUUCCAGACCAAGGGCUGUGAACCCGCCUGGGGAUGAGGCCUGGUCUUGUGGAACUGAACUUAGCUCGGCGGGGCUGACCGCUCUGGCCCAGGGUGGUGGCAGUGCUCCUUUUGGACUUUUCUCUAGGUUUGGCGCUAAACUCUUCUGUGAGCUCACUCCACCCCUCCUCCUCCCUUUAACUUACCCAUUCACUUAAAACAUUACCUGGUCGUCUGGUAAGCCCGGGACAGUAGCCGAGUGGCUUUUGGAGUCGGUAUUGUUGGUAAUGGUGGAGAAAGCGAGGCCUUCCCGCUGAGGCUGGGGUGGGGCGGAUCGGUGUUGCUUGCCUGCAGAGGGGGUGGGGAGUGAAUGUGCACCCUGGGUGGGCCUGCAGCCAUCCAGCUGAAAGUCACAAAAAUGCCUCAUAGACCGUGGUUUGUUACUAUAGUGUUCCUCAUGGCGAGCAGAUGGAACCGGGAGACAUGGAGCCCCUGGCCAGUGUGAGUCCUAGCAGUGCAGGAGGGGAGACCAUGGAGGAGAGAGCCCGCCUCAAUUGAUGCCUGCAGAUUGAAUUUCCAGAGGCUUAGGAGGAGGAAGUUCUCCAAUGUCGUGUUUCCAGGCCUUGCUGGGGAAGCCCUGUAUUCAGGAGGCUACCAUUUAAAGUUUUCAGAUGAGCUUAUGGGGGGCAAUCUUAAAAUAUCCACAGCAGAUGCAUCCGGCUCGAGGGGCCAUCAGCUUUGAAUAAAUGCUUGUUCCAGAGCCCAUGAAUGCCAGCAGGCACCCCUCCUUUCCUGGGGUAAAGGUUUUCAGAUGCUGCGUCUUCUAAAUUGAGCCUCCGGUCAUACUAGUUCUGUGCUUGGAACCUUGCUUCAAGAAGAUCCCUAAGCUGUAGAACAUUUUAACGUUGAUGCCACAACGCAGAUUGAUGCCUUAUAGAUGGAGCUUGCAGAUGGAGUCCCGUGACCUCUCAUCUACCCCCCCUGUUUGCCUGCCUGCCUAUGCGUUGCUCGGAGAAGUUCUUAGCCUGAUGAAAUAACUUGGGGUGUUGGAAAGCUGUUUAAUUUUAAAUGCCUUAGACGGGGGAUGUAUUAGAGGAAGCAGAUUGUCAAGAGUGUCAUUGUGUUAUGCUAAACUCUGGGAGGGUACAAAUUGGUCAUUCCCAAAUCUGUGUGUGAAAAAUGGCAGGUCUAGUUUGGGCAUUGUGAUUACAUUGCAGAUUACUAAGAGAAGGUAAUGGUGGGUAUACCGGUAGUGCUCUUUUGUUCUUGCUUCGUUUUUUUGCACCUGAACUUCGUUAGAUUUCAUAAUGCUUUUUUGGCAUUCUAAUAAGAGGACCCUGAGGUAGGAGUUGUGGGAGACCGGGAGAAGGGGACAGCUUGGCACUGGUCACGUGGGAGUUGCAGUGUGGGGGAUGGGGGUGUGCAGCUUGGCACUGGUACUGGGAGGGAUGAAGGUGAAGGAGAGAGGGUUGAUUAGGUAUAUAGUGUGGGUGGUAGGAAAUGCAGGUUGAAGGGAAAUUCUCUGGGGCUUUGGGGAGUUUUGUGCGGUGGGUGAGCCAAGAAAAUACUAAUUAAUAAUAGUAAGUGUUGGUUAAGUUGUUGCUUGGAAGUGAAAAGUUGCUUAGAAAGCUUAGAACUUUAAGUGCAAAAAAAAAGAAAAGAAAAAAACCCAAAACAAUUGUUUUGCUUUGCUGCAAGGUGGGGAAGACUGAAAAAGUGUAACCGAAAACAGAUGACACAGAGUCACCCGUUUUCCGAGAACCCACAGGGAGGGGUGUAUGAUGCCAUCUCACAGGCAGGGCAAGUGUCUUUACCAGCUUCCUCCCGGUGACAAGGCAGCCUGUUUUAGAGGGUUGUUUUGUUUGGGGUGUGGGUGUUAUCAAGUGAAUUAAUCACUAGAAAGAUGGGUGUCAGACUUGUAGACACAGCAGAUCGGCAUCCUUCACUGCCCCUUAGCAACUUAGGUGGUCAAUCUGAAGCUGUGAAGGUGUGAUUUUUCAGGAGCUGGAAGUCUUAGAAAAACCUUGUAAAUGCCUACAUUGUGGGCUUUUGACAUAUUUAAGGGACCGCUUAAGACGAGAUUAGAUGGGCUCCUCUGGAUUUGUAACUCAUUUGUCACAGAUACCUUGUGAUUGAAAAUCGUGAGUGAAGUGAAAUUGCAGUGCAUUUCAAGGGAAUUUUGUAUGUAAAUCGUGCCUUAGAAACACUUCUGUUGUCUUUUCUGUGUUUGGUCGAUAUUAAUAAUGGCAAAAUUUUUACCUACCUAUAUCUUCAAAUCGUAGUCUUUGUAACAAGAACCAAAUAACCUUUUGUGGUCACUGUAAAAUUAAUACUUGGUAGCAGACAGAAUCCAUGUACCUUUGCUAAGGUUAGAAUGAAUAAUUUAUUGUAUUUUUAGUUUGAAUGUUUGUGCUUUAUAAAUGAUCCAAGGCUAGAGGGGAAGCUAUCACAUAAAAUCCAUGUGGAAAACAAGAGCUAAAAAGGAAAGGGGAUGGGGAUUGUGGGGAGGGAGUGGGUGAGGUGCCUUUACUACAUGUGUGAUCUGAAAAACCUGCUUGGUAAUGAGCUGCGGUAUUGAAUUGGUAAAGUAAUACCAAUGGCCUUUUAUCAUUUCCUUCUUCCCUUUAAAUUUCACUUAAAAUUUUUAAAAUCAUGGUUAUUUUUAUCCUUGGGAUCUUUCUGUCUUCUGGGUUCUGUUUUUUAAAUGUUUAAAAAUAUGUUGACAUGGUAGUUUAGUUCUUAACCAGUGACUUGGGGAUGAUGCAAACAUCCUGUUGUUGGGAUUUAGAGUGUAUUACUCAUGCAUGUAUGGGGAAAUAGUCUCCGGUAUGCUGUUGUGAAAUUGAAACUGUAAAAGUAGAUGGUUAAAAGUACUGGUGUGUUGCUCUGUAUGGUAAGAACUAAUUCUGUUACGUCAUGUACGUAAUUACUAAUCAUUUUUCUUCCACUUUACAGCACAAAUAAAGGUUUGAGUUCUAAACUCAU